UCUGGCUUUUAAGUAGUUUUUAUAAAAUAUCCCGGGUUAGCAUUAAUACUUUAUAAUUAUAAAAUAUCCCGGGUUAACAUUAAUACUUUGUAGCUAUUUAAAUGCUCAUACUUAAACGAAAUAAAGUUUAAAUGAAGGAUUUUAAAAGUUUUCAUACAAACUAUUUUCAAUCAUAACUGAACGGUUUUACAUAUUUCAGCGUAAAAAUGAAAAUAAUCAAAUAAUAAAAAUUACUCAAGACAAGCUUUUUUUGUUGUCACUAAACAUAAUUUAUUAAUAUUUCAAGUUGUGCUCAUUAAUAACUUAGUAACAAUUUAACUAAAUGAACGUCAGACUUAAAUUCUUUGUAUUCUUUUUUUUACUGUAUUUUUUGUUUGUUAAUCACAGCGUCGAUUAAUAUUUUAAAAAAAUAGCAUCAUGUAAAUAAUAUAUUUAUUUGAAAAACAUGUUGUGAGACUGAAGCGCGUGAUAGAAUUAAAUAAAUAACUAACGAGCUUAACGCUGGCCUUCGCAUUCAAAAAUAAAAAAAUAAUUUUCUUAAGAACGAGUACUUAUUUUAAAAAUUAAUAUUUUUUAAUAUAUCAGUGAUUUAAAUAUGGAAAUUUCAUUAUUGUUAUCAUUUUUUUUUUAUUGUUGUAUAAUAAUAAUAAUAAUAAUAAAAUAAUUUUUAUUUAUUUAUCAAGGUGCUCCAAGAAGACCUUACAAUCUUAUCACAAAGCACCGCGAUAGAGCAUUUAAUUAAAAAGUUCAACUUCCUUCCUUAGCAAUGUCGCUUAUUCAGCUAAAGCUGGCAUUGAACUAUGAUGUCUCUGUAACAACAAAUAUACUAAUUUAUCCGUAUACGUAAAUUAUAUCAAACAAAAAAUGUUAACUAAAAUUAAGCUGAUUCAAAGAAAAACUUAUUGUUGAUUUAUUAUAAAAAAUAAAAAGCCUAGAACCAUAUAAAUAGAUAAAGAUAGAUGCAAUUUUAUAAAAUAUUCAUACUAUCAUAAAGAUGGGACACAUUUUAGCAGAGCUAUUCAAAAUUUUCGUGAAUGAAUCCUUGUAUGUAGAGAUUACUCAUCGAUGUCUUUGUUUCGAUUUUUUUGUUCCAUACAAGAAAUGCCAUAAACAAUUGUUUGGUUUAAAGCAACGAAAAUAUUUUUAAUCAUGUGACUUUAUGAUGUUAUAGUUUGACCAAAGAAAUUCUUAUAAAUUAUUAAUUUUUAAGCGUUCAUUUAGAUGGUAUUUUAUAAAGAAACAAACUUUUUUUUUAAUUUAUUUAUUUCAGUGCUCGCUCUAAAGUUUCGAUUUUUUAAAAUGAGAAGAAGAAGUUUGCUGUCAAAGUAUGAUUCCCAUCCGGCAUGCAAACCACGUUCUAUGUGGCUUAGAAAGUACGACAUGGAAUGGUUAACUGAUUUCUUAUCAAAUGAAUCUCAUCACAAGAGACACCAACCAAAAAGAUUUUACGACGAAUUUAUACUUUUUGCACAACAACGCUUGCUCCGAAACUCAAGCGCCGUAUGGAGAACCAAACCAAAAAUCCGUUAAGAAGAAAACAUUCAAUUAGAAGCUUUUAAUUAUAAUUUUUAAUAAUUUAAGUAUUGUAAUAAUUUUGAAUUUAUUGUUAAAACUAGCGUAUAAAAUUAAUAACAUAAUUCGAAAAAAACUUUCAAAUAACGGUAUAAAAAAUUAUUAUAUAUAAUACUUUUGUUUUCUUUCAAGUAAACAAUAAUGACGGAGGCGAAAACUUAUAAAUAUUAUCCCAAUUUAUUUUUCUUUCUUCUAUGGUACCCUCUCUAUGUUCUAUGAAACUAUGAAAGAUUGCUCACACAAGGUCCUCACAAAAGUUGAAUCUGAGCGCUUUUAUGAUUUUUUCUUCUUUUUUAGAUUUUCUUUGUGACAAUCAGCAACAUUGGAUAGAGGCUACUGUGACUCAAUAUAGCUAUAAAGUUACAAAUCAAUUGUUAUAAAUUAUAAUAAAUACAAUAACGCUGAAGACUGGUAGCCAAUGUAAAUUGAACUAAAUUUAAUACUUUUACUUAACUUGCUAUCUAAGAACUAAUCAUAAUGAUAUGGACCUGUAAACCAAUCGCAAGAAUGGACAAUAGCGUAACGGUCGAUAUUAAAAAGUGAUGUUUACUUUAAAAAUUUAGUAAGAAAACCAGCAACAAGUUUAAAAAAACUGAAAUACUGUCAGUAAACUCGGUUUACGUUGGUUUAUCUCGGUUUUGCAUGUAUUAUAUUUUAACUUUACGUUAAAACACUUAAAAGUA